AUUGCACUGGUGAAGGUGGAGGGAGUAGCGAGCUAGCUCUCUGUUUUGUUUGAAUGUCAACAGAAGUGACGUUAACCCGCCAUCGCGAUAGACCUUUCCAUCCAUUUGCAUUAAGCUUUGCAUUGUUAGAAACCUAGUCAUACUUUUGAAUGGUUAUGCAACAUUCUCUCAUUUCCCCCUGAGACGAGAAAUCCGUAUUCACCUCUUUACACUUCCUCCCACAAUGACGCAAUGUUGAGACUACAAGCGCUAGUUCCCACCCUUUCAACCCCGCCCAAAGGGGGUUGGACCUAAUGCGCUAACAGACCUAACACAGAUCAGUGACGUCACUGGCGGAGACCUGCAGAAAACAUGGCCGAAGGUAGGCCCUACCGAAUACGCAGACGGAUGCAAUAUGGAGGAUUGGGAUUUUGAAGAAGUUAUGUAGAAACGGAUGUUCGUGGCUAUCUUUAUGAGCCACAAUAUAGCGGCGAGCAGCUGAGGGCUAUGGAGGAACAGGAGGUGGCUGAAGCUGCUGCCACAACAGCCGAGGCAGACGACCUGCCUGCCGCGGACGAGGAGCUGCAAUGGCUCGAGCUGGUGCGGAUUGGUGGUGCCUGUGCUCUAACUGUGCGCCAAUGGACACAGAACAAGAGUCUGUCUGCUGCCGAGAAUUCCAGCGGUGCCAAUUUCCACUGGAGGAAAUCACGGAAUCGGAGGAUGACACGGACGUGUGUGUUGUUGAUCACCGAGUUUCGCACCCCAUAUGGAUAGUGGCGUCCUGGAGACCUACUUUAGAAUACCUAAGGUCAACUGGAAACGACAUCCAAAGCCUACAGGGCCAAAUGGACGUCUUUCUGUAAAACAAUUUCGCCUAACAGCCUACAGCCACUUUCUUGAGUGGGUCCUGCAAGGAGAGAGAUUGGGCAGAGGGCGUUGUGUCGUGUUACCUGCUUGUGUCGUGCAGGCUAUCCGCCAGAAAUACCCAGCUCCAGACGGCCAGUACUGCGGGCACCAAGAAGUGGAGGACGCUCAGGAGGAGCUAUAGUUUCCUUGUUUUAUAGUCUUUCAACAGUUGUAUUGUUUGUAUAUAGUUAUUUAAUUAAAUGGUUAAAAUUUA